rnacentral:rRNA from 1 species
GACGAACGCUGGCGGCGUGCUUAACACAUGCAAGUCGAACGGAAAGGCCUCAGCUUGCUGGGGUACUCGAGUGGCGAACGGGUGAGUAACACGUGGGUGAUCUGCCUUGCACUCUGGGAUAAGCUUGGGAAACUGGGUCUAAUACCGGAUAUGAACUGCCUUUAGUGUGGUGGUUGGAAAGUUUUUUCGGUGCAAGAUGAGCUCGCGGCCUAUCAGCUUGUUGGUGGGGUAAUGGCCUACCAAGGCGUCGACGGGUAGCCGGCCUGAGAGGGUGUACGGCCACAUUGGGACUGAGAUACGGCCCAGACUCCUACGGGAGGCAGCAGUGGGGAAUAUUGCACAAUGGGCGGAAGCCUGAUGCAGCGACGCCGCGUGGGGGAUGACGGCCUUCGGGUUGUAAACUCCUUUCGACAGGGACGAAGCUUUUUGUGACGGUACCUGUAUAAGAAGCACCGGCUAACUACGUGC